rnacentral:lncRNA from 1 species
UAUCCUCCAACCAAUCCCACUUCCUCAAGUGUCUACCAUCUUCCAACAGGGUUACUAGCUAGGGGACAAGUUUUAAUUAAAGGAGUCUUUGUGAAUAUCCAGAUCCAAAAUAUUCUGGAAGUUCUUUUGGACCCUACCUGAAUCCUGAUCAGCUACUACCAACUUCCUUGGUGCCCUGUUAGUCCUGGAGCCGACUUUCAGGGUUGUUUGAACAGGGCUGCUCAGCUCAGCAGCUUAUCGAAGUUCACAGUUCCAGGUGCUGGAAUCUGAGAUGCAGCUGCAGUAGACACUCCCUGCAGAAACCUGGGCAUGUAUGAGUUGGAGGUGAACCCGUU